rnacentral:rRNA from 1 species
GGGCCCGCACAAGCGGUGGAGUAUGUGGUUUAAUUCGAUGCAACGCGAAGAACCUUACCAGGGUUUGACAUCCUGCGAAUCUCUUGGAAACAGGAGAGUGCCUUCGGGAACGCAGUGACAGGUGGUGCAUGGCUGUCGUCAGCUCGUGUCGUGAGAUGUUGGGUUAAGUCCCGCAACGAGCGCAACCCACGUCUUUAGUUGCCAGCAUUUAGUUGGGCACUCUAGAGAGACUGCCGGUGAUAAACCGGAGGAAGGUGUGGAUGACGUCAAGUCAUCAUGCCCCUUACAUCCUGGGCUACACACGUACUACAAUGCUACGGACAAAGAGCAGCAAGUUCGCGAGGACAAGCAAAUCUCAUAAACCGUGGCUCAGUUCAGAUCGUAGGCUGCAACUCGCCUACGUGAAGGAGGAAUCGCUAGUAAUCGCAGGUC